UCGAGGAUCUUCGGCAAUGGGCGAAAGCCUGACCGAGCGACGCCGCGUGUGCGAUGAAGGCCUUCGGGUUGUAAAGCACUGUCGUGGGGGAGAAAGCCCGCAAGGGUUGAUCGACCCCAGGAGGAAGCACGGGCUAAGUUCGUGCCAGCAGCCGCGGUAAGACGAACCGUGCGAACGUUGUUCGGAAUCACUGGGCUUAAAGGGCGCGUAGGCGGGCCGUCAAGUCAGGGGUGAAAGCCUCCAGCUCAACUGGAGAAGUGCCUCUGAUACUGGCGGCCUCGAGGGAGAUAGGGGCGUGCGGAACUUCCGGUGGAGCGGUGAAAUGCGUAGAUAUCGGAAGGAACACCGGUGGCGAAAGCGGCGCGCUGGAUCUCUUCUGACGCUGAGGCGCGAAAGCCAGGGGAGCGAACG
rnacentral:rRNA from 1 species